rnacentral:rRNA from 1 species
AGAGUUUGAUCCUGGCUCACGAUGAACGCUGGCGGCGUGCCUAAUACAUGCAAGUCGAACGGACAUCGCAAGAUGUUAGUGGCGACCGGGUGCGUAACACGUAGCUGACCUGCCCCUCGACGGGGGACAACAGCGCGAAAGUGCUGCUAAUACCGCAUACAUUCAGGGUAUUUAGAAAACCUUGAAGAAACUUACGGGGUCGAGGGAGGGGGCUGCGGCCCAUCAGGUAGUUGGUGAGGUAACGGCUCACCAAGCCAACGACGGGUCGGGGGCCUGAGAGGGUGGCCCCCCACACUGGGACUGACAACGGCCCAGACUCCUACGGGAGGCAGCAGUAAGGGAUAUUGCGCAAUGGGGCCGAAAGCCUGACGCAGCAACGCCGCGUGGAGGAUGAAGGCUUUCGGGUCGUAAACUCCUUUGGACGGGGACGAGGAAGGACGGUACCCGUCAAACAAGUCACGGCUAACUACGUGCCAGCCGCCGC